UGAAAAAGGAAUGUGUUCUCGCUGU
rnacentral:piRNA from 1 species